GACGAACGCUGGCGGCGUGCCUAAUACAUGCAAGUCGAGCGAAGUUUUUCUGGUGCUUGCACCGGAAAAACUUAGCGGCGAACGGGUGAGUAACACGUAAAGAACCUGCCUCAUAGACUGGGACAACUAUUGGAAACGAUAGCUAAUACCGGAUAACAGCAUUAACUGCAUGGUUGAUGUUUGAAAGUUGGUUUUGCUAACACUAUGAGAUGGCUUUGCGGUGCAUUAGCUAGUUGGUGGGGUAAAGGCCUACCAAGGCGACGAUGCAUAGCCGACCUGAGAGGGUGAUCGGCCACACUGGGACUGAGACACGGCCCAGACUCCUACGGGAGGCAGCAGUAGGGAAUCUUCCGCAAUGGGCGAAAGCCUGACGGAGCAACGCCGCGUGAGUGAAGAAGGAUUUCGGUUCGUAAAGCUCUGUUGUUAGGGAAGAAUGAUUAUGUAGUAACUAUACAUAGUAGAGACGGUACCUAACCAGAAAGCCACGGCUAACUACGUG
rnacentral:rRNA from 1 species